rnacentral:rRNA from 1 species
UUUUAAAUUAUUUAAUUAUUUUAUUAUUUAUAAAUUAUAUUAUAGAAAUAACUUUUGUUUUAGUAAUAUUUAAUGAAUUAAUUGAUUGUUUAAUAGUUUAUUUUACUGUGAAGGAUUAUUAAUUAAAAUAUUAAAAGUAGAAUUAGAUUUUUGUACCUUUUGUAUCAGGGUUUAUUAAUUUUGUUUUAUAUAUUUAUAAAAUUCCCGAAAAUAAGAGAGAUAUUAAUAUUUGUUAUUUAAUGUAUUAAAUUUAUUAAUUAAAUAUUAAUAGGUGUUAUAUGCUAUUCAUUCUUAUAUAUCUGGUUUCUUAAUAAUUGAAUUUAAUUCAGGAUGAGGAUUUUAAAUUUAGUAAUUUAUUUAAAUUUAAAUUCUUAAUCUAAAAUUUUUAAGGAUAAGCUUAUAAAUUUUUCUAUAAUUUUAAAAAUAUUAAAAUCUUGUAGGAUUAGAAAUUUUCAUCAUUUAUUUUGUUAUAAUUAAAUUUUAAUUAUAAUUCAUUUUAUUUAUAUUUAGAUAUAUAUUAAGAAUAAUCAUUUAAUGAUUAAUUGAUUGUUAUAAUGAUAGAAUUAGUAAAAUAAUUAAUUAUAAUUAAUGUAUAGUAAUUCGGCAAUAAUAUUCUUCACCUGUUUAACAAAAACAUGGCUUAAUGUAUUUAUAUAUUAGGUUUGACCUGCUCAAUGAUAUUUUUAUUAAAUAGCCGCAGUAUUUUGACUGUGCGAAGGUAGCAUAAUCAUUUGUCUUUUAAUUGAAGGCUAGCAUGAAUGGUUGGAUGAGGGAAUAACUUUCUUUACAUUAAUAAUUGAAUUUAAUAUUUAGGUUAAAAAGCUUAAAUUUAUAAAAGGGACGAGAAGACCCUAUAGAAUUUUAUUUUUAUAUUGAAAUUUUUAUUUUGGUUAAUUUGUUAAGAUUUUGUUAUAGGAAUUUUGUUGGGGUGACAGUGAGAUUAAAUUAACUCUUAUAAUUAAUAUUAUUGUUUAUGAGCAUAUUGUAGAUCCUAUUUUAUGGAUAUAUAGAUUAAAUUACCUUAGGGAUAACAGCGUAAUUUUUCUGGAGAGUUCAUAUCGAUAGAAGAGUUUGCGACCUCGAUGUUGGAUUAAAAUUAAAUUUAAGUGCAGAAGCUUAAUUUUUAGGUCUGUUCGACCUUUAAAUUUUUACAUGAUCUGAGUUCAGACCGGCGUGAGCCAGGUCGGUUUCUAUCUUUUUAUUUAAUUAUGUAAAUUAGUACGAAAGGACCAUUUACUUCAAUAAUUUUGUUUUAUUUUGAAUAUUUUA